rnacentral:rRNA from 1 species
GACGAACGCUGGCGGCGUGCUUAACACAUGCAAGUCGAACGGAAAGGCCCUGCAUUUGUGGGGUGCUCGAGUGGCGAACGGGUGAGUAACACGUGAGUAACCUGCCCUUGACUUUGGGAUAACUUCAGGAAACUGGGGCUAAUACCGGAUAGGAGCUCCUGCUGCAUGGUGGGGGUUGGAAAGUUUCGGCGGUUGGGGAUGGACUCGCGGCUUAUCAGCUUGUUGGUGGGGUAGUGGCUUACCAAGGCUUUGACGGGUAGCCGGCCUGAGAGGGUGACCGGCCACAUGGGGACUGAGAUACGGCCCAGACUCCUACGGGAGGCAGCAGUGGGGAAUAUUGCACAAUGGGCGGAAGCCUGAUGCAGCAACGCCGCGUGCGGGAUGACGGCCUUCGGGUUGUAAACCGCUUUCGCCUGUGACGAAGCGUGAGUGACGGUAAUGGGUAAAGAAGCACCGGCUAACUACGUG